rnacentral:rRNA from 1 species
GGACGAACGCUGGCGGCGUGCUUAACACAUGCAAGUCGAACGGUGAAGCUCCAGCUUGCUGGAGUGGAUCAGUGGCGAACGGGUGAGUAACACGUGAGCAACCUGCCCCUGACUCUGGAAUAAGCGCUGGAAACGGCGUCUAAUACUGGAUACGCGAAGGGUCCGCAUGGGCACUUUCUGGAAAGUUUUUCGGUUGGGGAUGGGCUCGCGGCCUAUCAGCUUGUUGGUGAGGUAAUGGCUCACCAAGGCGACGACGGGUAGCCGGCCUGAGAGGGCGACCGGCCACACUGGGACUGAGACACGGCCCAGACUCCUACGGGAGGCAGCAGUGGGGAAUAUUGCACAAUGGGCGAAAGCCUGAUGCAGCGACGCCGCGUGAGGGAUGACGGCCUUCGGGUUGUAAACCUCUUUCAGCAGGGAAGAAGCGAAAGUGACGGUACCUGCAGAAGAAGCACCGGCUAACUACGUG